CACUAUUUAUUUUCGGUUCGGUUCUAAUAUAGUACAUUUCGGUUCGGUUUCGGUUCCUCAAUUUUAUUUCUUGUUUUACCCGAACCGAGAGAGUGUAGCAUAUAUUUACACUUUUCUCUACUUUUUAUACAAUUUUUUCUCUAAUAAAAUACAUACCCUACUGACCUACUCCCAUUUCUCUCUCUCUGUCGGCCCACUACCUCCCUUUCUCUAUUCUCUUUUUGACUUUUUCUCUAUUCCCUCUCUCUAUUAUGUUCCUUACCUAUCAGCACGUGAUGUUCACUGACUUCACUCCAAUUCCCUAGGUUUCUCCAAUAGAAAAUUGCCAAGAAAAUCAAAAAGUCUCCUUAAUCUACUCCCCACUAAUUCUUUUUUUCUUUUUAUUCAUACCUACCCCAUCUCUUCCCUCUCAUAGCCGCAGCAGCCAUAUUCUUCUUCUCCUCCUCUUCUCCUCCUCCUCCAGUUCUGGUGUGUUCUCUAAUGGAGAAACUGAGAAAAUUGCAGAACAAAAUGUGGCUGGGAAGCUGAGAAACUGGAUAGGUUUACAUGUGUACAAGAACCGGUUACAAGCCGUAACCGAACCGUUCCAAGCCGGUUCCGGUUUCAAGUCGGUUCCGGCAAAAAAACGCAGCAACACCGAACCGGAAAAACAUCAUCGGUUCCGGUUCCGGUUCCGGCAAAAAAAUCGAAAAACAGAACCGAUCCCAGCACUACUAUUCUCUAUCUCUAUCUCUCUUCUCUUUUCUUCGAGAAGCUCUCUUCUCUCUCUUCUGCGCUCCCACACUUGCAUCUCCAUUCUUUGCUUGUCCUUGAACUUUCCCAAACUAUCAAUCCAUCAUCCAAUGAAUUGUCCGUGAAGGGGAUCAAGGGGCGUCUCAAUCCUCUGCCGUCGGCUUGCAUCCCUGACAUAGUGAUGGCCACCGUGAAGAAGGAAAAGCCGAAUCUGAGGAAGAAGGAUGGCCGCCACGAUGGUUAAACUGGAUUGGAAGAAGCUCAACUAGAUCGACCUCAUCAGAAUCUAGUUUCAGUGACUCAAUUUUUUAUGGGUUUAUGCCUAUCAACUCUAAUCAAGAUCCCCAAUUUCAUCAAUGUGAAAUUGGAAUUCGUAGAGGUUGCUGAAGGCCUAGCUUGUGGAACUCCUCAUAUGAUCAGUGCUACGAUUGAAGGCCUUGCUCGGUUGGCUUAUGAGUUUUUUGACCUUGUUUUCAACUGCUAGCAAUUUGCUACGAUUAAAGAUGGCUGUCACGAUGCACGCCAAGUUAAACGGGAAGAAUCUCAACCAGAUCGACCUCAUCAGAAUCUGGUUUCAGUGUUUCAAUGAAGUAUGGGUCUACGCCUAUCAUCUCUAAUCCAAGAUCUCAAAUUUCAUCACUGAGUAGAGGCUGCAACCAUGGCAGUGGCUAAACCCAAGCCGAUCAUCAUUGAACCCAUUCAUCCCCAGAAAGAUGAAAUAAAAUGAAUAAGAUCAGGAUAUCAGCCAUCCAUCCCCAGACAGACUCGAUGUUGGACCAGAACCAAAUUAAAAAUAAAAAAAAAUUAUAAUAAUGAUUCCUACCCACCAUCGUUGUUAGUGGUCCCAGUAUGUCAGAGAGAAGCCACACACAAGUAAAUCGAGACUUUUGAGGGGAAAGCCACCCCUCUACAGAGCACUGACUCUAUUAAAUGUGGCUGUAGCGUGGCUAUGGCUGUUAGACACGUACAUGUGUGUCCUUUGAUGUCUUUUUGUCACGCAUGUUGUGUGUGGCUUUUGACCAUAAUUGUAGUAGUGUUAUGUAUCAAAUUACAAAUUUCCCUUCAAUUGUUUUGUUAAUUACUAAAUAAGUCUACUAGACUCUAUUUUAUAAUGAUUUGUCA